GUAUUGAAGUACUGGUGUUAGUUUCCAGUCUAAUUAAUUUCAAUAAAAAAUAGUACAUUGGCUGACUUUGUCAUUGUUUUGAGAAUUGGCAAAUAGGCAAGUAAUUACAGGUUAGUCUCGAGUAUGAUUGUGAUAAUAUUUGUAGGACCCACACUAGUUUCUCCAAUGCCACGGGGGCACGUGUCCCCCUGGGCCCUAGCGUGGCUCCGCCACUGCCGCAUAACAACCCUAUAUCCACCUAUCAUUCUACUACUUACCCCGUGUGUCCUGCCGUUGCUGUUUUCCGACCCACCACCACCGUUGCCGUCUCGUCCUCUCCUUCAAUCAACCCCACCAAACAUUUUCUCAAGAUCCCUUACCAAACCACGCAGAUUCUGCACUUUUUCCUCAUUUUCUUCAUCCAGGACUUCUGUCGAACACAUUGACUGUAAUGCUGAAGUUGAAGGAAUAUGGGAUUUUCCCAACUCUGGUGCCGCCACAGCUAAUGUGAACGCCUGGUCUGGAGCUGCUAUGCUCACGCCGUUGCUCGGAGCGUUUAUCGCAUAUUUAGCAUUAUCGACGAUCAUCGUUGCUCCGUUUCUUUAUGUUCUGUUUCAUCUAAAUCACCUCAAAGUUGGGGCAUAUAUCAUAAUUCAAAGGGCACCUUAUCAGGUAAAUAAUAAUUACAUGAGUAAGAAAUCUCGAUGUGUAGAACUCAACUUAAGCUUGCUUGCUCGAAGACAAGCAUCCAAGGUCUUUAUGCUGACUAUUCUGAAUCAGAAACUAAUCCCAUAUAUGCUUAAAAGGAGGAUGAAGUUGCGCGUGCGACAAGGGAUAUCAGUUCUGAAGAUGUUUGAAAUUUGGUUUUGAAGAGGUGGAGGUUUAGAAGAAUCUCAAAUGUUCAAUAUAUUGUUCUUGCGCCAUCAAUGGAGUGUUACGAGGCUUAUUUGGCUGAUGGUUCUGAUGGCAGCAACUUCUCCCGGCGGAUCAAUUACCUCUGUCAAACAUCGGAUAGGAGGGAGACUGAGCUGAUUUCUGGUGCACAACUAAGGUAUAGAUACUAGGCUUCUGUUAUUUCUGCUUCUGAACAAGUUACUGAGGUUAAAUUGCUGCUUGAGAAAGAGGUUUUCAUACGUAAACGUGCAGAAGAGGAACUUAAUAAUGUUAAAUAUCAACUAAUGCAACGGGAACGAUCAGAGGCAUCUGGAAGUUCUGAGAUAAUAAAGCUUCGAAAGACAUUGGAAAGUGAGAAACGGCAGAAAGAGAAACUUGAAGAAGAAAUAGCUAUACUGCAAAAUCAGCUAUUGCAGUUAAGCUUUGAAGCAGAUAAGUUCCCCUAGACGAGCUCGCAGCCCCCCGAGGAGAUCCCCUGUUCCUCGUAGACGUACUCUUUCUCCAAUGCGUAGACCUAUUCGUUCACGUUCUAGAUCAAUCUCCCCAUGGAGGUUCUGGAUACCAAUUGAUACAUGGUGCACAAUAGACUUCAAGUUGCCAAGAGUAUAGACGGGGUAUUGUUUUCCAAUGUUAGAAGGUAAAGAUCAUGGAACUGUGGUUUUCACCUACAUUAUGACCAUGGAAUUGAUAUACAUGGAAUUGAUAUAAUAGACUUCAAGGUGCCAAGAGUAUAGAUGGGGUAUUGUUUUCCCAUAUUAGAAGCCAGGCUAUGGUGAGUAAAGAUCAUGAAAAUGUGGUUUUCACUUACAGUAUGACCAUGGAAUUGUUAUAAUUCUAAGCCAUGUAAAUCUAUUUGUUGGUCCCAAAUGUAAAUAACAUGCAGUGCAUUUCUCAUGAGUAAGUAAUAUUGUAUAAAAUUUUUCUUGGCACUGCUGUGGCGUAACUGGUGGCAAAAAUAAGGACCAUGUAUGCUGAAAGAGGAUUUAGUUGGCGAGUUGUUGAUCAAUCUUAGAAAUUAGUAUAUCUGUCACACUUCUUCU